rnacentral:rRNA from 1 species
GAUGAACGCUGGCGGCGUGCCUAAUACAUGCAAGUCGAGCGAACGGACGAGAAGCUUGCUUCUCUGAUGUUAGCGGCGGACGGGUGAGUAACACGUGGAUAACCUACCUAUAAGACUGGGAUAACUUCGGGAAACCGUAGCUAAUACCGGAUAAUAUUUUGAACCGCAUGGUUCAAAAGUGAAAGACGGUCUUGCUGUCACUUAUAGCUGGAUCCGCGCUGCAUUAGCUAGUUGGUAAGGUAACGGCUUACCAAGGCAACGAUGCAUAGCCGACCUGAGAGGGUGAUCGGCCACACUGGAACUGAGACACGGUCCAGACGCCUACGGGAGGCAGCAGUAGGGAAUCUUCCGCAAUGGGCGAAAGCCUGACGGAGCAACGCCGCGUGAGUGAUGAAGGUCUUCGGAUCGUAAAACUCUGUUAUUAGGGAAGAACAUAUGUGUAAGUAACUGUGCACAUCUUGACGGUACCUAAUCAGAAAGCCACGGCUAACUACGUG